UAAUAAUAAUAGCGCCUGACGUUUAGU
rnacentral:piRNA from 1 species